rnacentral:rRNA from 1 species
AUGGAGACAGCGCAGGAAAGAGAGCUGCUGCAGCGGCUGCCGCUGCAGCUGCAGGGGUGGCCUUUCCACGCCAUGCCGCCCAGCUUCGACGCCGGCAGCGGCGGCAGCGGCAGCAGCAGCAUGAGCAGCGACUCCUUCCUGCUCGGCUGGGAGCCGCCGUUCGGCGGCUGCUUCGGCCUCGCCGACGCGCAGCUCCACGACCUCUUCCCGCUCUGUACGUCGUGCGCGCGCCUGCCCGGCAUCAUGCCCGCGCUCUGUUUCCCUCUCCCGCAGCUCCGGCGGAGAAUUGAACUCGCCGUUUCUUCGACUGCAGGCAUGAUGGAGCCGCUCCCGCUGUCGCCGGCCGCGACGUCCACGGCGGCGGGCCUCCCGUCGGAGCAGCAGGGCCCGGCGCCGGCGGCAAUGCCCAACGGGGAGCUCGGCGACCUCCUGCUGAAUUUCUGGGACGCCGGUGAUGUCAGCGAGCGGCCGGUCGCAAUCAAUUCAGGCUGCGUGGCACCGCAGCAGCACGAGAAGAGCAGCCAGAGCAGCGCUGCCACCGCCACGAACUCUUUCCUCUAUGAUGAGGACGAUCUUUUGGGCUCCAUUUUCUCCAAGAGGCCCACCAUGGCAGAAGAACCGCCCGUGCUCCUCCUCGCCCCGGCGGAGGCGGAGCCCCUCCUCAGCACCUCCUCCUCCUCCAGCUGCCACGCGGGCCCACCCGCCAGCGGCGCCGGCGGGGCCCGGCCGCAGGACGCUACCGCCACCGCCGAGCCAUGUGGCGCGCGGGCCCCGCCGCUCCCCCGCUGCUCCUCCUCGUCGCUCAAACGCGCGACACCGGAAGCGGCGGAGUCGGCGUCGGCGGAGGCGGAGUGCAGCCAGAGCGGCGGCAAGCGGCGGAGGGCGGCGUCGGGAAGCGUGCUGUGCCCGUUCGCGGUGCUGAAGCCCGACGGGCUGGACGGCGGCGCGACGCUGGCGGACAUCAACGCGCGCAUCCUCAUGCGGCCGGCGCGGCCCGUGCGGCACCCCGUCGGCGAGUACGCGUGCGCGCCGCGCGUGCUGGCGGCCGACGCGCCGGGCAUCUCCGGCAGGGCCGUCUCGGGGUUCACGCGGCUGCACACCCCCGGCCGCGGCACCAUCACCAUCAUGAGGACGCGAGGCUGA